rnacentral:rRNA from 1 species
GACGAACGCUGGCGGCGUGCUUAACACAUGCAAGUCGAACGGAAAGGCCUUUUCGGGGGUACUCGAGUGGCGAACGGGUGAGUAACACGUGGGUGAUCUGCCCUUCACUCUGGGAUAAGCCUGGGAAACUGGGUCUAAUACCGGAUAGGACCGCACUUUAGAGUGUGUGGUGGGAAGUUUUUUCGGUGUAGGAUGGGCCCGCGGCUUAUCAGCUUGUUGGUGGGGUAAUGGCGUACCAAGGCGCCGACGGGUAGCCGGACUGAGAGGGUGCUCGGCCACAUUGGGACUGAGAUACGGCCCAGACUCCUACGGGAGGCAGCAGUGGGGAAUAUUGCACAAUGGGCGGAAGCCUGAUGCAGCGACGCCGCGUGGGGGAUGACGGCCUUCGGGUUGUAAACCGCUUUCGCCAGGGACGAAGCGUGUUGUGACGGUACCUGGAGAAGAAGCACCGGCUAACUACGUG